CCUACGGGGGGCAGCAGUGAGGAAUAUUGGUCAAUGGACGAGAGUCUGAACCAGCCAAGUAGCGUGAAGGAUGACUGCCCUAUGGGUUGUAAACUUCUUUUAUAUGGGAAUAAAACGUUCCACGUGUGGGAUUUUGUAUGUACCAUAUGAAUAAGGAUCGGCUAACUCCGUGCCAGCAGCCGCGGUAAUACGGAGGAUCCGAGCGUUAUCCGGAUUUAUUGGGUUUAAAGGGAGCGUAGGUGGAUUGUUAAGUCAGUUGUGAAAGUUUGCGGCUCAACCGUAAAAUUGCAGUUGAAACUGGCAGUCUUGAGUACAGUAGAGAUGGGCGGAAUUCGUGGUGUAGCGGUGAAAUGCUUAGAUAUCACGAAGAACUCCGAUUGCGAAGGCAGUUCACUGGACUGCAACUGACACUGAGGCUCGAAAGUGUGGGUAUCAAACAGGAUUAGAUACCCCAGUAGUC
rnacentral:rRNA from 1 species